AUUGAACGCUGGCGGCCGGCCUAACACAUGCAAGUCGAACGAGUUGCGGACGGGUGAGUACUGUCUGGGAAACUGCCUUAUGGAGGGGGAUAACUACUGGAAACGGUAGCUAAUACCGCAUACCAUCGGAUGUGCCCAGAUGGGAUUAGCUAGUAGGUGGGGUAAAGGCUCACCUAGGCGACGACCCCUACCUGGUCUGAGAGGAUGACCAGCAACACUGGAACUGAGACACGGUCCAGACGCCUACGGGAGGCAGCAGUGGGGAAUAUUGCACAAUGGGCGCAAGCCUGAUGCAGCCAUGCCGCGUGUAUGAAGAAGGCUUUCGGGUUGUAAAGUACUUUCAGCGGGGAGGCGUUAACCGCAGAAGAAGCACCGGCAAACUACGUGCCAGCAGCCGCGGUAAAUC
rnacentral:rRNA from 1 species